rnacentral:rRNA from 1 species
UCUGCCACCGAAUACAUUAGCAUGGGAUAAUGGAAUAGGACCCUGUCCUCCUAUUUUGCGUGUUGGUUUUCGAGGACCGGGUAAUGAUUAAUAGGGAUAGUUGGGGGCAUUAAUAUUUAAUUGUCAGAGGUGAAAUUCUUGGAUUUAUGAAAGAUUGACUUCUGCGAAAGCAUCUGCCAAGGAUGUUUUCAUUAAUCAAGAACGAAAGUUAGGGGAUCGAAGACGAUCAGAUACCGUCGUAGUCUUAACCAUAAACGAUGCCGACCAGCGAUUAGGAGACGUUGAAUACAAAACACCACCGUUGGGUCGUGGCGGGCCGUGCCCCGCGGUCCGUCGUGCGCGGCGACGCGUGCGGCGGCCACGGGGACCGCGGUCCGUAUCAGCCACCCGACGGCCCGGUGAAUGACUCCCCUAG